rnacentral:rRNA from 1 species
UGGGGAAUAUUGCACAAUGGGCGCAAGCCUGAUGCAGCCAUGCCGCGUGUAUGAAGAAGGCCUUCGGGUUGUAAAGUACUUUCAGCGGGGAGGAAGGGAGUAAAGUUAAUACCUUUGCUCAUUGACGUGACCCGCAGAAGAAGCACCGGCUAACUCCGUGCCAGCAGCCGCGGUAAUACGGAGGGUGCAAGCGUUAAUCGGAAUUACUGGGCGUAAAGCGCACGCAGGCGGUUUGUUAAGUCAGAUGUGAAAUCCCCGGGCUCAACCUGGGAACUGCAUCUGAUACUGGCAAGCUUGAGUCUCGUAGAGGGGGGUAGAAUUCCAGGUGUAGCGGUGAAAUGCGUAGAGAUCUGGAGGAAUACCGGUGGCGAAGGCGGCCCCCUGGACAAAGACUGACGCUCAGGUGCGAAAGCGUGGGGAGCAAACAGG